rnacentral:rRNA from 1 species
ACCAUACGACUCUCGGCAACGGAUAUCUCGGCUCUCGCAUCGAUGAAGAACGUAGCGAAAUGCGAUACUUGGUGUGAAUUGCAGAAUCCCGUGAACCAUCGAGUCUUUGAACGCAAGUUGCGCCCGAGGCCUUCCGGCCGACAGCAUGCCUGCCUGGGCGUCACGC